GUGCACCAGUCGCGAAACCUCCGCAAUGCGCGAAAGCGCGACGGGGCCACCCCGAGUGCCGCCCGCUGAGGGCGGCUUUUCCCCGGUGUAGAUAGCCGGGGGAAUAAGGGGAGGGCAAGUCUGGUGUCAGCCGCCGCGGUAAUACCAGCUCCCCGAGUGGUGGGGACGAUUAUUGGGCCUAAAGCGUCCGUAGCCGGCCCGGCAAGUCUCCCGUUAAAUCCAGCGAUCUAAUCGCUGGACUGCGGGAGAUACUGUCGGGCUAGGGGGCGGGAGAGGCCGGCGGUAUUCCCGGGGUAGGGGUGAAAUCCUAUAAUCCCGGGAGGACCACCAGUGGCGAAGGCUGCCGGCUGGAACGCGCCCGACGGUGAGGGACGAAAGCCGGGGGAGCGAACCGGAUUAGAUACCCGCGUAGUCCCUUA
rnacentral:rRNA from 1 species